rnacentral:rRNA from 1 species
CGGACGAACGCUGGCGGCGUGCUUAACGACAUGCAAGUCGAACGGAAAGGCCCAGCUUGCUGGGUACUCGAGUGGCGAACGGGUGAGUAACACGUGGGUGAUCUGCCUUGCACUCUGGGAUAAGCCUGGGAAACUGGGUCUAAUACCGGAUAUGACCUCUGACUGCAUGGUUGGGGGUGGAAAGCUUUUGCGGUGUGAGAUGGGCCCGCGGCCUAUCAGCUUGUUGGUGAGGUAAUGGCUCACCAAGGCGACGACGGGUAGCCGACCUGAGAGGGUGAUCGGCCACACUGGGACUGAGACACGGCCCAGACUCCUACGGGAGGCAGCAGUGGGGAAUAUUGCACAAUGGGCGCAAGCCUGAUGCAGCGACGCCGCGUGGGGGAUGACGGCCUUCGGGUUGUAAACUCCUUUCGCCAGGGACGAAGCGCAAGUGACGGUACCUGGAGAAGAAGCACCGGCCAACUACGUG